rnacentral:rRNA from 1 species
UACGUAAGUGGCGAGCGUUGUCCGGAAUUACUGGGCGUAAAGGGCAGGUAGGCGGCUCGGAAAGUCUGAGGUGAAAUCCCAGGGCUUAACCCUGGAACUGCCUUGGAAACUCCCGAGCUGGAGGUCCAGAGGGGGAAGUGGAAUUUCAGGUGUAGCGGUGAAAUGCGUAGAUAUCUGAGAGAACACCAAUGGCGAAGGCAGCUUCCUGGCUGGAACCUGACGCUGAACUGCGAAAGCUAGGGGAGCGAACGGG